AUUGACUUCCUGGGUGUCUUCGAUGACAACCACCGCUUGGCUCAGUGCAUGGGCACCCGCCCCAGGUGCGCGCAGCCCGUACUCUCAGAUUCCUAACCUGGAGGGGUUGGCGCUCCCGGAACGCAGGACACGAAGCCCAGCCCCGGGCCCCGGCUUCCGCCUGAUCCAGCCCUACUAGCCCGGCCGCCCCAAGAUCCCGCCCAGCCCGGGGCGUGUCUCGGCCUAGGUGAGAGCCGGCGGGCGGGGGAGGGACACGCAGUGAGGGGCGGGACAAGUGCCCGGAGGACAGACAGAUGGGGCGACACUGGCUGGUGGAGGGGAGGGGCAGGCGAGGAGCGGGGGCAGGCCCGGAAGAAAUGGGGACCCGGCAGGCGGUGACGGAGGCGGCACGCGCGGAGAUGUAAGGCGAGGUCACUUAUGGCGUCACUAAGUACUGGGUAGGGCGAAAGGAAAAGGGGCCAGAUGCCCGGGUGGGAGGCAGGACUGGCGCAAAUGGGGCGGGGCAGCCGGAAGGAGAACUGCUGCGGGGCUGGCCCGGCGUGUCUAACCC
ensembl:lncRNA novel transcript